rnacentral:tRNA from 1 species
GCAGUGGCGGCUCAGUGGUAGAACGCUUGCCUUCCAUGCAGGAGACCCAGGUGUAAUUCCCAGCCAGUGUA